UAUUUGUUCACGCGCAUUGACGAUAACAAUUACAUUUCCCCAGUGCAGAACAUGAAAUACGGGGAAUAACACAAUGUAAAAUGGAUUGCCAAAUAGUCACAAGUUGCAACAGGAUACAGAUGGGACAAUAUGUUAAAUAUCAUCGGAGAAGACCUGAGCCCUAGGACCAUGCCCCAGGACUACCUGACAUGAUGACUCCUUGCUGUCCCCAGUCCACCUGGCCGUGCUGCUGCUCCAGUUUCAACUGUUCUGCCUUAUUAUUAUUCGACCAUGCAGGUCAUUUAUGAACAUUUGAACAUCUUGGCCAUGUUCUGUUAUAAUCUCCACCCGGCACAGCCAGAAGAGGACUGGCCACCCCACAUAGCCUGGCUCCUCUCUAGGUUUCUUCCUAGGUUUUGGCCUUUCUAGGGAGUUUUUCCUAGCCACCGUGCUUCUACACCUGCAUUGCUUGCUGUUUGGGGUUUUAGGCUGGGUUUCUGUAAAGCACUUUGAGAUAUCAGCUGAUGUACGAAGGGCUAUAUAAAUACAUUUGAUUUGACAAUCAAACUAGCAAGGGCUAUGAUCACAAGUAAGUCAUAACAUGGCUAAUAGACUAGCAUAUCUAUUUAUGUAGCAAACUAAAAACAUAGAACCUAACAUUAGUUAACUAGCUAGCUGCUAGGAGGAAGUCAUGCCAUUGGAGGAGUGGGUGAGUGACUUUUUUUCAGUGUCUUUUCACAGCUAGAGAUGCAGGUGUCAUUUGGUUAGCUAGCAAGAACUUGAAUAACUGUCAUCCAGUUACUUAGCAUAUCUCUUGCGUUCGCAAAUUCACUCUGGCUAUCUAGCUAGCCUAGUGGUUAGAGUGUUGGACCAGUAACUGAAAGCUUGCUGGAUCGAAUCCCGAGCUGACAAGGUGAAAAUCUAUCGUUCUGCCCCUUGAGAGAAUGCCAAGAGUGUGCAACGAUGUCAUCAAGGCAAAGGACAUACUUUGAAGAAUCUCAAAUAUAAAACAUUUUGAUUUGUUUAACACUUUUUUGGUUACUACAUGAUCCCAUUUGUGUUAUUUACUAGUUUUGAUGGCUUUACUAUUAUUCUACAAUGUAGAAAAUAGUGCAAAUAAACAAAAACCCUGGAAUGAG